AUCACUUCUCGGCCUUUUGGCUAAGAUCAAGUGUAGUGAAUGUGCAUAUGAGCUUGAAAAUUGAGCUUCUUAUGUAUUUCCAACAUAUGAAAAUCAGGUGACACACAUUCAACAGUAAUGUUUGCUUCAUUCAAGUCUAGUAGAAAAUGGAAUACUUUGCUUUUCAACAAUGCCCUACCAUAACCCUC